rnacentral:tRNA from 1 species
GCGGAGAUAGCUCAGUUGGUAGAGCAGUUGGCUUUUAACCAAUUGGUC